CCUCAGCUCAGGCACCCUGUCGCCCAUGGCCGUCCAGGGUUUUCAGGGCACCUGUGUCACUCUCCGAAAUUUGUGUCAGCGCUGCGCCAGACUGGGCGCCUUCCCUUGGUUUCGGGUUUUCUCUACUUUUAAAUUUCUGGCGUUAGCGAGAGUUCGAUGUUCAAAUGGGAAAAAAAACUAAGUGCGCCGCCCGGGAAUCGAACCCGGG
rnacentral:lncRNA from 1 species